UUGCGGAACCCACUUAAUACCGACGUCUAGGAGUCAACGAAUUUAAAGAAAAGAAGAAAUAUAUUACCUAAGGAGCCGAAAUCGUAAAGAAACGGUGACAUUUUCUUUAGUUUCACUAGGAGUAGUCGUAGCGGAUACCGCGCUGGGUUUGUAAAACGACGUUGUGGAAGAAUUGGUAGAUGAAUGAGUGGUGGGCCGAUGGUGGUUAUUGGGUGGCACAGUAGAUGAAGAUGUCAGCGGUGGAAGUGUUUUUCGGGAAUGGAAAUGGGAGACUGAAAGUUCAAGGGUUUUUUUGCUUUUGUUUGUUAUGAUGUAGAAGAAGGAGAAAUAGAGCCAAUGGUGGUGUUUAGGUGGCACAGCCGACGAAGACGGUGGUUGUGGAGGUAUUUUUCGGUAAGAGUGCAGCCCGGAAGUUCAAGGGUUUUUUCCCCUUUUUUUUUUCGCUGUAGGGAAGAAAGAAAAAUAGAAGCGAU
rnacentral:lncRNA from 1 species